rnacentral:rRNA from 1 species
UACGUAGGGGGCAAGCGUUAUCCGGAUUUACUGGGUGUAAAGGGAGCGUAGACGGCUGUGCAAGCCAGAUGUGAAAGCCCGGGGCUCAACCCCGGGACUGCAUUUGGAACUGUGUAGCUGGAGUGUCGGAGAGGCAGGCGGAAUUCCUAGUGUAGCGGUGAAAUGCGUAGAUAUUAGGAGGAACACCAGUGGCGAAGGCGGUCAACUGGACAGCAACUGACGCUGAGGCGCGAAAGCGUGGGGAGCAAACAGG